GGGCACUUAGUUCAGUGGUAGAACGUUACUUUGACAUAGUAAAGGUCGUAGGUUCGAUUCCUACAGUGCCCACAA
rnacentral:tRNA from 1 species